ensembl:snoRNA LOC120099484 small nucleolar RNA SNORA17
CCUGCCCCUGGAGGCAUUGCACAUGUGACUGCUGUGUCAUAUGUGUGUCUGUAGGUGGCAGAGAGGAGAGAGGCUAUGUCUGUCUAUGCUCAGCGUUCUGACCUAUGGACAUCUGAAUGGUUAGUAGCCUAACAUU